rnacentral:rRNA from 1 species
GAUAAACGCUGGCGGCGUGCAUGAGACAUGCAAGUCGAACGGGCCGUUUCAGGCUUGCUUGAAAGGCUAGUGGCGGACGGCUGAGUAACGCGUGGGUGACCUGCCCCGAAGUGGGGAAUAACUGCCCGAAAGGGUGGCUAAUACCGCAUGUGAUCACAUAUUCAUUUGUGUGAUCAAAGCAGUAAUGCGCUUUGGGAGGGGCCUGCGUCCGAUUAGCUCGUUGGGGGGUAAUGGCUCACCAAGGCGACGAUCGGUA